rnacentral:rRNA from 1 species
UACGUAGGGUGCGAGCGUUGUCCGGAAUUAUUGGGCGUAAAGGGCUCGUAGGCGGUUUUGUCGCGUCGGGAGUGAAAAACACCGGGCUUAACUCGGUGCUUGCUUUUCGAUACGGGGCAGACUAGAGGCAUGCAGGGGGAGAACGGAAAUUCCUGGUGUAGCGGUGAAAUGCGCAGAUAUCAGGAGGAACACCGGUGGCGAAGGCGGUUCUCUGGGCAUGUCCUGACGCUGAGGAGCGAAAGUGUGGGGAGCGAACAGG